rnacentral:other from 1 species
UUAAACUUAAAUCAACAUAUUGAUUUAUAAGCAUGGAAAUCCCCUGAGUGAAACAACGAAUUGCUGUGUGUAGUCUUUGCCCAUCUCCCACGAUGGGCUUUUUUUUAA